GAUUAACGCUGGCGGCGUGCAUAACACAUGCAAGUCGAACGAUGAAACUUAAAUUAUUUCUUCUGAAUGAACUUAAGAGGAUUAGUUGCGGACGGGUUAAUCACGCGUGAGUAACCUGCCUUACACAAGGGGAUAGCCGUUGUAAACGACGAAUAAUACCCUAUGAUGUUUCUAUCUCGCAUGAGAUAUUAACCAAAGUGUUAGCGGUGUAAGAUGGACUUGCGUCUGAUUAGCUAGUUGGUGAGAAAAAAGCCCACCAAGGCAACGAGCAGUAGCCGGCUUGAGAGAGUGUACGGUGACAUUGGGACUGAGACACGACCCAGACUCCUACGAGAGGCAGCAGUGGGGAAUUUUGCACAAUGAGGGAAACCCUGAUGCAGCGACGCCGCGAGAUUUAGAAGGCCUUCGGGUUGUAAAAAUCUUUUGUAUAGGGAGAAAAUGACAGUACUAUACGAAGAAGGACCGGCUAAUUACGUG
rnacentral:rRNA from 1 species